rnacentral:lncRNA from 1 species
UGUACAGAAACUGUGCAGUCUGUGAAGGAGGUUGCCUUGAGUAAGUUGGUUGACAAUGACAAUAGCUCUACUAUCCAGUAUUUUCCUCACUACCCAAGAGGUUGCCUUGGGAGUGGUCAUAGUUUCCAAGUCUUUUUUCUUAACAUAGUAGCUGUGUACCCAUUUUAUCCACAAACAGUCUUUCUUGUUGGCUAUGUUCCAGAGCUGUUUGCUUAUUGCAGCCCUGUUCCAUAGUGUCAUGUCAAUGAUGUUGAGUCCACCAACAGAUACAGGCAUGCACACUUUCUCCCAUGCCACUGGAGCUUUUCUGGAUAGAGUAACAUUACCAGUCCAUAAGAAGGUUAUGCAUAUGUUCUCCACAGCUUUCAGAAUUUUCAUUGGUAGGAUGAAGAUAUGAGCCCAAUAAGAUUGUAUGCCAAAUAUAACUGCUUUAAUCAAUUGACAUCUACCUGCAUAAGAAAGAAGCUUAGUACGAUACAGGCCUGCACACUUUCUCCCAUGCCACUGGAUCUUUUCUGGAUAGAGUAACAUUACCAGUCCAUAAGAAGGUUCUGCAUAUGUUCUCCACAGCUUUCAGAAUUUUCUUUGGUAAGAUGAAGAUCUGAGCCCAAUAAGAUUGUAUGCCAAAAAUAUAACUGCUUUAACCAAUUGACAUCUACCUGCAUAAGAAAGAAGCUUAGCAGACCAGCAGGUUAUUCUGGCAGUAAUCUUUUCCAUUAUAGGCAUGUAGUGACAGGCAGCUAGUUUCUUGGAGUCAAGGAGGGACUCCAAGGUAUCUGAAAGGGAGUUUGCCCUCAGUAAUCCCAAUUCCUCCAGUAUUUGCUCCUUGACAGUUUGUUGUACUCCUGCAAUGUAGACUGCACUCUUUGAAUUGUUUGCUUGGAGGCCAGAGGCAUCAGAGAAUGUAGUAAAUGCAUCCUUUAAGAUCUUCACAGAGAGUAGGUCAGCCCUACAAAACAGUAGUAAAUCAUCAGCAAAGCAAAUAUGAGAACAAUUUAGUUUCCUGCAUUUAGGAUGGAAGAGUAAAUCAUCAGCCAAGCAAAUAUGAGAACAAUUUAGUUUCCCGCAUUUAGGAUGGAAGUUGAAAUUGCCAUUUCUAUGCAACUGUCCCAGUAUCCUGUUGAGAUAUUUCAUAGCCAAUACAAACAGAUAUGGAGACAUAGGGUCUCCUUGUCUAAUACCUCUUUUGGCUUUAAAUGGUUUAGUGAGUCCUCCAUUCAGAACCAAGGAGUAGGAUACAGUAGUCACACAAGCCAUUAUCCAUUGAGUAAAUUUAGCUGGGAAGCCUAUGCCAAGCAGGAUUUGUUCUAGGAAUCUCCAUUCCAAUGUAUCAUAUGCCUUCCUCAGGUCCACCUUUAGGACACACCUAGGUGAUAUUGCUUUCCUAGAAUAUCCUUUGAAUAUUUCAUGGCUGAGUAUAAUGUUAUCAACAAUGCUUCUCCCUUGAAGGAAUGCUGACUGAGCCUGUCCAACUAGUUUCCCAAGUACAUUUUUCAGUCUUCUGGUGAUUAUUUUGGAGAUGAUUUUAUACAAUGUAAUUCAGCAUGCUAUAGGCCUGUAGUCUUUCACAGUGGCAGGUGUCUUGUCUUUAGGAACAAGGGCAAUGGCAGUAGUGUUGAUCAUUGGAGGCAUUGUGCAAGUGGUGAAGAACUCCUUAGCAGCAGCAAAUAUGUCCUCUCUUACUACAUCCCAGUUUUUAGUGAAGAAUUCCACUGGAAAACCAUCCACCCUAGGGGCAUUAUCUUUUGGCAUCUCCAUAAUAGUGUCUGUGAGUUCCUCCAGUGUAAGUUCCUGGAUCAGGACUGCUUGCUGAGUUCUAGAAAGGCAAGGGCCUUCUUUGAUGAUUUUAGUGUUCACACAAGUCAGUUCCUUUGCACAGUCUCCCAUCAGUGAUUGGAAUACAGUGAUAAAUUCCUGUUCCACUUCUUUAGGGUCAGUGAGCUUGAUUCCAGAAUCAGUGUACACUGAGGUAAUGUUAUUCUGAGAUGUUCUGAUUUUCCAUUGGGCAUGGAAAUAUUUUGUGUUUGCAUCUCCACAUUCAAUCCAAACAGCUUUGGAUUUCUGUCUCAUAACCUGCUCCUCCACAGAACACCACUUCUCAAUUUCUUCCAGCAAUGCUUUCUCUUUAUCAAACAGUAGUUGUGAAACUCUUCCUCCAGCAAUGCUUUCUCUUUAUCAAAGAGUAGUUGUGAAACUAAGCAUUUCUGAAGUUGGUGUUGGGUAAUAUCCAGUUCCUUUCUGGCCUGCCCAAGUCUUUGCUUAUAUGUAGCCAUGUAUGCAUUCAGUUCCCUUAAUUGUUGCUUCAUAUCCUUUAGUUUGCUCCAGAUCUUCUGUAAAGAUGAUCCCAUGUGAUCAGUUUGCCAAACAGUGUGGAUGAUGUGUUGGAAUUGUGGCAGUUCCAUAACAUUAGUGAAUAAUCUGAAUGGUUUGGGAUGUAGUAGUUGAUGGUCUCCUACUUUGAUAAGAAUUGGAGAGUGAGCUGAAACGGAGGGAUUCAUGAAGUCAACUUCUAGGUGACCAUAAUUCUGUAUCCACUGGUAGUUGCCCAGGGCCCGAUCAAUCUUACUAUAAACUCUUCUAGUUGUACCUUGCUUAUUGUCCAAGUGUAGUGCCAACCCUUUGAUCUGAGAGGUGUGAGUUGUAGAUCAUUUAUGACAUCUUUAAACUCUUUUAUUUCAGCUUCAGUAACAGGGGAGCCAAUUCUAUCUUCAGAGCUCAAGACAUUGUUGAAAUCACCACUAAGUAACCAAGGGUCUUGACUGGGUAUUGGAAUGUUCCUCAGAUCAGUCCACAACUGGUGUCUUUGGUUAACAUUAUCCUGGGCAUAGACUACACUUAAAUGAAUUCUAACUUUACUAGUUGGAUCUUCAAUGAGGCAUUGCAUGAAUUGGUCGGUCAUUUGGGAAAUGGUGACCUGUAUAUGAGGUCUCCAGAACAGCCAGAUUCUCCCAUUCAACAGCUUGAGAGUAGUUGCAUUGUAUCUUCCAGCCUCUUGCAAAUUUGUUUUGGAUUCGUUUUGCUUUGUGUUCCUUAACUCUAGUUUCAAUACAACCCAUAAAAUCUACUUUGUUGACAGCCCAGAAGGUCUUCAGUUCUUGUUGUUUAUGGGGUUGGUUGAGCCCCAUGAUGUUCCAAGUCACUAUGAUCAUAGUAUCUUGGGGCUGGAAUGAGAUGGACCAGGAUCAUUCUGUUGUCCUCUUCUGCCAUCAUCUACUGCAUCAGCAAUUGCUUUCCCCUUAAGGCAUUCAUUUACAGUGCUACAAGAAGGCACACUGCAAGUUCCAGGAUACCUCUGUUGAAUAUCAGUUGCAAGUUGUUCCUCACUUUGAGAGGUCACCAUUUGAGUUAUAGAUAGUAGUUCAUUAUCAUUGGCAGUCUCCUUAAAGGAUUCAACUACAACUGUUACCUGCUUCUGUAAUGUACUUGAUGCUUGAGUCUGCUUAACCUUCCAUUCUUGUCUGCCUGUUUCAAGUCUCCUGUUUCCUCUGUUUCUCUGUCUUUUAGGCUGAUCCAUUGCUUUCUAUCCUUUAUCUGCUUCAUUGUUGGUGUUAUACCAACAAUCAAUAGAGUCGUGCCCAAACUUAAAACAAUGGUUACAAAAUAGAGGUUUCCAGUCAUACUCAAUUGAUUGUACCUUUGGCCCAAAUGGCGUUUCAAUUUCAAUCUGUUCUGGAAGGGGCUGUGCAGCAUCCACUUUUACAAGGAUUCUGGCGUAAGAUAUCUUCUCAUAGUGAGCUGUAUACUUAUCAGUAUACAGGGGAUUCCCGAUUGCACUUGCCAUCUUACUUAAAGCCUCAGUUGAUCAGUAUCCCACAGGAAGGCCAGGGAGAGCAUUCCGAUUUCCUUGCACAACAUCGGCUACUGUUGAGGAUGAAACCCUAGCUUCAUUGCAUUCUGAGAAUUGCAGUCUUCGUAUAGGUUGACAAGUAUUCUCGUCCACUGCGAUCGACUGAUGAUGCAUCUCACCUUUGUCACAUGCAGCUUCAGCAGCAUCAACAAUAGAUUGCAAUUUCUAGGGAAGGAAGUUUCCAAGCGUCAGUGGUUCCAGUGUCUUAGCAACUCCAUGGUCAGGGGUAACUAGUUUAGGUGUAUCGGCAAUAGUAGUUCUCCGUCGGCGAGUCAUUCUCAGUCACAAUGACGAACAUUGCUAUUGUGCGCCGAGAGGGUUAGGUUCGGCUAUCGUGCGCAUCGCCCAACCACCACUGCUCUUAUAUUUGGACUUGACUUCUCCACAACAUUAGUUUUCAGAAAAUAGCUGCCGCAAAGAAACCUACAAACAUCACUAAAUCACAUUCUUCAUGAAAUCUAUCAAACAGGACAUUACAAUACGAACUGUAAAAUGAAUCAGGAAGCAACUUUAACUCGGGAUAGGACCCACAAAACUACCAUAAAUAGGAUUAUUUAAUUUUCUUAAUGCAUCCCUAUGCCAAAUGCAUAUUCUUUGAAAAAGAAGAAGCAAGUAUAAAUUCCAGAACAUCUCAGCGAUGAAUAAACGCACCUGAAGCUCUCUUAAAACAUCUACACGUUUCCUAACUUGUGGCGUCAAAGUUUCGAGUAUAUCCGAAUGCUGCCCGGCCAAAUUCUGAAGCUUAUUCUAAACACUUUACAUAGAAGAGACAAAGAUAAAACAGUUGGGCGAGUUAAAUUAAGAAAAUGUGAAACAAAUAAAAAGUAAAAAAAAGAAAAGUAACCUUGAGCGCAUUCACCAAGCCAGCACGAUCUUCGGCACUCAAAGCUAUACACAAACAACAGA